rnacentral:lncRNA from 1 species
UCGACAUACCUAGCGGGACCGCUGCUGUUUGUUUUUUGUUCCCCUUAUACUCUCCCUGGGAGAAGAAAUGUCUGUGAGGGGAACGCCAGCUCUCUGGGUACAUCACUUGUUGAGGUGGUGGCAGUUCAGACUCCAAGUGUCCAGCUGUCCCAUGUUGGAUCUCUCAGCAGUCAUCCCUAGGUCAAUGAGGAGAGGUAAAGUUGAAAAAGAGGAAAAUGACAAAUGCUGGAAGAACUACAGGAAAACAGACACAUUAAUACACAAUUGAGGAACCCAUGAACUGGUAGAGUCAUUCUGGAUAUCAACUGGGAACUAUAUCUAAAACAUUAUUCAGUUGUGCAUAUCUUUUGACUUGAUAAUACCACUACAAGGAUUAUAGUCCAAAAAGAAGAAGGAAAGAGAAAAGCAAUCUAUAUGUAUAACAAUAUUCAUAGAAGCUUUUAUUUGUGGUGGCAAAGAAAGGGAAUCCAAGGGAGUGCUUAAUGCUUAACAAAAGGGGGAUAUUUGGACAAGUUAUAGUUUAUGAAUAUGAUGGAACAUGAUUAUGUUGUAAGAGAUGAUGAUGAUCAUAGUGUCAGAAAAACCUGGGAAUCCUUGCGUGACCAAUGAAGAUUGUAGUAAGGAGAUCCAAGAGAAAAAUUUAUAAAAUAACAACAAUCUUGUAAAGUAAAAAAAAAAAACAAAUCCAAACUGAAAGGCUUUGGAACUCUGAUCAAUAAAAAGAACAAUGACAGUUCCA